rnacentral:rRNA from 1 species
UACGUAGGGUGCAAGCGUUGUCCGGAAUUACUGGGCGUAAAGCGCGUGUAGGCGGCCCAGCAAGUCGGAUGUGAAAGCCCUGGGCUUAACCUAGGAAGUGCAUUCGAAACUGCUGGGCUUGAGUUCUGGAGAGGAAGGCGGAAUUCUCGGUGUAGAGGUGAAAUUCGUAGAUAUCGAGAGGAACACCGGUGGCGAAGGCGGCCUUCUGGACAGUGACUGACGCUGAGACGGCGAAAGCGUGGGGAGCAAACAGG